GUCAAAAGUAGUAAAAGCGAAAAAUUUUCAGUGUAUAUUUUCAGUAAAAUGGAACAAAAAAAGAAGAAACAAGCAGGAGAAGAUCUUCAGGAUCUCAGUAAACUGAUUGAGACACUGACGCUGUUUUCAGUGAAAUAUUUGUUGAGAGACCCUCCUCCCGACGACAUAGGGACUUUUACCGAAGAAUUCUUUACUGAUCUUCAAAAGAAAAAAUGUUCGGAUUGUAGAAUUUGCGAAUGUCCAUGGGAGUCAACGUGGAAGAGGAGGACACAAAGGGAUUCUUUUAUCCCCCUUAGAGUUCGACAGGAAAUCAACAAAUUACCCAAAAUACCAAAAUAAUUUAAUUAAGAUUAAAAGCCCACAACUACUGA